AUGUUCAGGAGGCGUCUGUCCAGAGCUGCUCCCCGCAGUAAAGCCCCGAGGCGCCUGCAUCCGCCCCCUGCUCUCUCUCAGGUACUGUAGCUCUCUGUUUUUGCGGGAGAGGAGCUCAAGCUCAGGUUAUCGUCUUAUGGUAAUCUUCAGUUGUGUGCUGCCACUCGUUCUUCACGUCGUCUAUUCUGACACAAAUGUUCUCUGUGCUGUUGUUAUGAUCUGUCAGAUCACGCCGGCUGCUGUGGAGAGAGAUCCGCUGGUGUACGAAGACGUUCUGCUCAUCGGUCAGGAGAACUGUGUGGAGGACUGGCCUGAACACAGUCCUGAGCUCUCUCCAGACUGGAAACCAGUGAGUUAUCAUCAUCUGAACUAUCUGAACUACAGUAGAGAUACAGUCGAGAUGCUCCAACACACUGAGACUCUCUCUCUCUCUCUCUCUCUCUCUCUCUCUCUCACACUCUCUCUCUCUCUCUCUCUCACACUCUCUCUCUCUCUCUCUCACACUCUCUCUCUCUCUCUCUCUCUCACACUCUCUCUCUCUCUCUCACACACUCUCUCUCUCUCUCUCUCUCUCACACUCUCUCUCUCUCUCUCUCUCACACACUCUCUCUCUCUCUGUUGCAGGCUGGCAGGCUCACGCUUCGGAGAGACUCUGUCCGGGUGAGUCCUUCCUUCAGAUCAGCGGGAAGACAAACUGAAAUCACUCUGAAGGAACUCUUACUCAAGUAUUGGGUGGAGCGGUUAUAACUCAAUAUCACUCAAACGGAGACCCAAAUCAUUAAACCAAAAUAAACGAAUAAAGCAUGUAAAAUCAAACAUUACAUUUUAUUAUAGUAAAAAAUACUUAAAAAACAUCCAUCUCUGCAUGCAGUAAUACAGCUCACAUAUGUAUCCUGGGCACAGUCUAGAUUAAUUCCCGUGGUCUGUGUGUUCUUGUGUCUUUUGUGGUUGUGAAAUCCUCUGAAUACGUGAACAAACACAUAGAUAUGUGCUGGCAGCGGGCCAGAACACCAGUCACGUUAUUACAGCUCUGUCACAACACUGUUGUUUUCAGAUUCCAGCCGCGUCUGCUGGAGGCGGAGAGGAGGGUCUGAAGAAGAGCGGGAGGCAGGUAGGAUGUGCAGCAGUCGUCUCACGGGACUAGUGUGUGCUCGUCCUCCUCAUCUGUGUUUGUGCUCCUCUUUCAGAGUCUGGGAAGGAGACUGAGACACUCGCUGCUCAUCAGGAGGAGCUCCAAGGUUAGCUCCUUUAUAUCUAAGAAAUUCUGGAAAGAAAAGAAGAAAUAAACUCAAUUACAGCUACAGUCAUCAUACAAGUACAACAAUUGUAAAAAAUUAAAAAUAAAAUAAUUUAUUAUAAAUAAGAUAUAUUUUUUUAUUAUUUAAAAUGAUUGAAUUGAAAUAAAACAAGUAUAGUAUAUAAUAUUUUGAUAAUUUAUAAUAAUUUUAUAUAUGAUGUAUUUAUUGUAAUUUCUAUAUUAUUUAUGUUAUAAUUUAUAAUGUAUUAUAUACAGUGCAAUAUUUUCCAGCUAUUUCAUUUUAAUUUAAUUUAUCCAGGGUGAGGGUUUUGUUUUAUUAAUUAAUUUUAAUUAUUUAUAUUACAAUCCUCUUUAACCCUGAGACAAAAGGCUGCUAAUUUCAACAUUUUGAAACACUUUUCAAAUCGUGAUUAUGAGAACCCUGUUUAUUACUUACAAUAAAUUAAGUCAGAAUUGCAGGAAAUGAGAAAGCGAAAAAUUACAGAUUUAUAUUACACGGUUUAUAAUAUGAAAUAAAGAAAAUAAGAAGGGAAAAAAAAAGAAAAUUAUAGGUUUGCGAUGCCUAAUUAAAAAUAAAUGUAAAACAACGGUGAAAAAUCAGUAUGGAAAAUUCCUUUAUAUGGACAUUGACAUUGUGCCGUACACUUUUAAACGCCGUAUAGAGUCGAACUUCGUUUUUUUACAUGUUAACCUGGGGGGAAAAAAUUAUAAUACCAUUAAAGAAAUGACAUGCAAAAAAAAACUCAAAGUCUGCGUUUUCAGGAUAAAAGUGGAGAUGAAAUGAAGAGCUCCGAGACGAACACAAACUCACUGAAUCGACACUCAAAGGUGCAUUUCUUCACAUAUGAUAGAGCUCAGAUCACAAGAGGAGUCUCAGUCUUUGUUUCAUAGAUCUGCAGAUCAUAUUGAUUCGUUCUGUGAUGAUUUCUGUGUUGUGUUAAAGCUCAUUAACAGCACGGAUGAAGAAGAAGAGCAGAAUGAAGCUGCUGAGUAUAAACCGGUACGAAGCUCGUUAUUUCUGAAUCAUCAUAGUUUCAGAUUGAUGUAUUUCAUAACCGAUUGUUUUUUUCUCUUAUAGAAGAAAACAUCAAAACCUAAGAUUAUUAUACACCGCAGAGGCUCUAAGGUAAAAUAUGAUCUCUAUGGAUCAAUAUCAGUUUGUAUGUUAUUUUUAUUUGGAGAAAAAACAAUAAAAGAUUACAACAAUAUUUACUUCAUAAAAUUCUGAGUGGUGCGGGAGAAAAAUACUGACAUUUUGGAAUUCAGACCGCAAUAAAAUCAGACUAACCCCUGUAAAUGUUGAAAAUUACACACAGACAUAUGUAACUCGGCACACUUAUAGAUCUCAUCAACUUUCGUCCUGCAUGUCAUAGGCUCCGCCCAACAGGAAGUUGGCUAUUUAGAGUUAUGUAAAAAGUGCAUGCUCUGGAAUUUUAUAUACUUGUCAUAAGUUUUUUAGCGAAUUGUCACCAAACUCAGUCAAUAUGAUCUCAAGACAUUGGGGAUGAAAAAUUGCCAGGGGAUUUUUGAUAUCUCGAACGGUUUGCUCGUGGCAAGGCUUUGAAAUUAGGGCAAGAAAUGAGAAACAGGAAGUGUCUAAUACCAUCCACAUACAUUUCCUGAUUUUAAUCAAACUUCAUCAGAUUAUACGUUGUAUCAUAUCGAUCGCAUAUAUGUGACUAUUAGGAGUCAAAGUUAUAGCGCCACCCUCUGGCAGCAGGAAGUGUGUCAUUAUGGGGAAGUCGUGGCCUAAUGGUUAGAGGGUUGGACUCCCAAUUGAAGGGUUGUGGGUUCUAGUCUCGGGCCGGACGGAAUUGUGGGUGGUGGUAGUGUAUGAACAGCUCUCUCUCCACCUUCAAUACCACGACUUAGGUGCCCUUGAGCAAGGCAUCGAACCCCCAACUGCUCCCCGGGCGCCGCAGCAUAAAUGAUGAACACUGCUCCGGGUGUGUGCUCACAGUGUUCACUGCUCUGUGUGUGUGUGCAUUUCGGAUAGGUUAAAUGCAGAGCACAAAUUCUGAGUAUGGGUCACCAUACUUGGCUGAAUGUCACUUCACUUUCACUUAUACCGUAUAUUUCGGACUAUAAGUCACACCUGAGUAUAAGUCGCAUCAGUCCAAAAACAUAUAUAAGUCGCAUUUAUUUAGAACCAAGAGAAAACAUUACCGUCUCCAGCCGGUUACAUUACAUACAUCCGGUAAUGUUUUCUCUUGGUUCAUUUCUCUUGGUUCAUUUCUCUUGCAGAGCUCUAAUUUCUGAGAGAUGCAGGGAGAGGCAACAGCACUGCUGUGUUUGAUUUGAUCUCUUUUCACUCAUAAAGUUUACAUUCAUUCACUUCACACUCAUGACUUUAGAGGUCUGUGUAUAAUAUUGCGCUGAUCCCCUGACUCAACUGUUAUCUAGCAAACACCAGACUGUGUCAGCUUUAGCCGAGUAUUCAGACAGAAUUAUUCCUUGUCCGUUAUUCGUUUUUUAAGCCAUUAUCCGAGCCAUUCCGAAUAGGUAUUUGGCUUCAGGCACAACCCUAAUUAUUACAUUACAUAAUUUAUUUUUACAUGCAACAUAGAUAAGGUCAUAGACAGUAACAGCUCCACGCAAUAUAUUAUUUUAUUCUAAAAUUCACGUCGUACUUGCAAACAUUUUGUAUGCAUUAUGGUCAAUACAUACUGGAGUAGUCUAUCAGACAUAAUGUCAGCAAAAGCAGCAUUAUAAAGUAAAUAAAAUGAAAAUAAAGUACAUAAAAAUAAGUUGACCUCACAGCUCCAAACUCUGUUCUAGAGGGCCAGUGUCCUUUAUAGUUUAGCUCCCAGGGUCGGACUGGGGGUAAAACCAGUACUCAUUACCAGGGCCCCAAAGGAAGAGAGGGUCCUUGAAAAGUAUGAAAUAUAUUCUAUUUUACCUGGAUAUUUUCAUGGUUGGGGGGCAUGGGGGCCCAUUCUUAGAAUAGGAGAUAUGCUGUCUCUCGCAUCACAUACAUUAUCAGUAGCUAAGUAUGUGGUCUUGAAGAGGACCCUUUUUUCUCUCAUUUGGACUUGGACUUGACUUGGACUCGAACCUCUUUGGACUCGGUCUUGACUCGGCCUCGACUAGUCCUGGACUUGGACUCGACAAAGCUGGACUUGACUACAGCUCUACAUUAUACAUGUUGCAUUAUUGUCAGUUUGACAGUUUCAUCUUAUUUUUAAAUCCAAUAUACUGUAAAAUUGUAUUUUCUACUAUCAGAUAUAAUAUAGCUUUUAUCAGUAUUUUUUAUAUUUAAUUUUUUUUAAUUUUUUUAUUGAAUGAAUGUUUGGUGAUAUCUGUGCCAGCAUCAGAUGUGUGUUAACACUGGAUCUGUUUGACAGGACGGAGCUGACGCUGAGCUGAAGGGAGCUUGUGGCUUCACUCCUCAUCCUCCGACGAAGGUCUGUCUGAGUCACAUGACACUGAUGAUCCUCUGCGCUCGCUCUUGUGUCUGAACACUGUUAAACCUGUGCUUUCAGGACGCCGAGCGGUUCGAUGACCUGAAGGGAGCGUUGGGUCACGAGUUGAAGGUAGAGCAGACGUCCAGACGAGCGCAGGGGUUCAGGAUCUCUGUCUGUUCACUCAUAU
ensembl:lncRNA